UGCUCAUGGGCGAAGGCACUUGCCAUCGCACCGAAAACAAGGAUUAAACAAACAAAAAAGGGUGUAUUAGACUUCUGCCAGAUGAACUCAUAUCUGACUCCGUGUAUGAAAUGGUGGACUUGUUUUGAGCUGCAUGGGGUACUACCAGACUGGGAACUGAUUACGGGUGUGGUUGGAGUACUCAAGAGUUUCGAGAGAGAAAUGACACAGCUUUAUAUGCUCAAACUAUAGAAUGGGAGUAUAUACGGUUAGACAAAACAAUUAAAAGUUAAGUUAUAUUCCAGACUGUCUUAAGCUUAGUUUAUUAUAUGCAGAUACGAAUAAGAAAAACAGUGAAACGAAUUAAAUCAAAGUGGAACACAUAUAACCAAUUAACCAACAAAUUAUCCUACCUGACCUUAAAUAGAUUGAUCGAUGUAGAUGAAAAGUACUAUUACCUUUCCAUCAUAUUCUUUCUUGAGUAACACCUCAGGUGCAAUAUAUGCAGGGGUGCCAACGGUCGAUUUUGGUUGUGAAUGCAGCACAGAGGACUCGAGAAAAGAGACCAAGCGUAAUUAGAUGGAUAUGAUAAAUAUAGACAGUAAAACUGGCAAUGAAAGAUGGCUGACGCUUAACCAUUAUCACAAGAGUAAAGAGGCAGACAAAUUGCUGUGCAAUAUCUACCAGUUAAAGAAAAACGUAGAACAUGCAUUUUCCAAACACAUUUCUGUUUUGAGUUUAGAGAUCUUUCAUAAUUUAGCGCCGGACUCCUGCAAAAUGAAGGCCUCUGUGCAUGUAAAGAGAGAGAGAGAGAGAGAGAGAGAGAGGGUGUAGUACCUUUGAGUAGCCAAAGUCACAUAUUUUUAAACGA